CCUACGGGGUGCAGCAGUGAGGAAUAUUGGUCAAUGGACGCAAGUCUGAACCAGCCAUGCCGCGUGCAGGAAGACGGCUCUAUGAGUUGUAAACUGCUUUUGUACGAGGGUAAAUCCCGAUACGUGUAUCGGGUUGAAAGUAUCGUACGAAUAAGGAUCGGCUAACUCCGUGCCAGCAGCCGCAGUAAUACGGAGGAUUCAAGCGUUAUCCGGAUUUAUUGGGUUUAAAGGGUGCGUCAGCAGUUAGAUAAGUUAGAGGUGAAAUCCCCGGGGUCAAAUCCGGCACUGCCGCUGAUACUGACGGACUAGAGUUGAGUAGAGGUAGGCGGAAUGUAUGGUGUAGCGGUGAAAUGCAUAGAGAUCAUACAGAACACCGAUUGCGAAGGCAGCAUACCAAACUACGACUGACGUUGAGGCACGAAAGCGUGGGGAGCAAACAGGAUUAGAUACCCGAGUAGUC
rnacentral:rRNA from 1 species